AGGGAUGUACCCAUCGCUCAAGAAGCCUGUUGAAUUGGCUCACAAUCCUCCGGAAGGCUGCGAUUGUGCAUGCAAACCUGUGUGACAUUCCGUAGGCUGAGAGUUGGAGAGGGCAGGGGCUAGGGCAUGAAAGACAAGGGUGAGCGUCUUUCACAUCAAUCUUGGAGGAAGGUUGAGGACUUGCCUGUCUGCUAAAAGCAAUGGAUGGCGCCUCUCCUUCCAUCGUCUACAGAAGGAGGAAGAGACAGAUGUUUAAAGUGGAAAUAAGAGAAUUGGAGUUCUGAAAAAUGUGAGAAUCAAAUCUACAGCCCCAUUCAUUCAGUGACUUCCUAUCUUCACCCUGUGAAGUUCACCAGAGGCACCGAGGGAACUUGCCCAGAUAGUUGUAGUGGCAUUGUCCCUGGUGUGUGAGGAAUUUUGGAGAAUAGAAGAGGUGUAAAACUA